GAUAUGGAUAUACUUGAUACUUUGCUGCAAACAAGUAUAUAUGCACCUAAAACAAAACAAUUCCUCCAUAAAUAAUACGGUGAUUAGGAAAGACAUUAACUACAGUACUCUAUUAUUAAUUUAAUGAGGAAAUGAAAGCAAGUACAUGGUAGCUAAUAAAGAGUCUGUAGAGGGAACACCGCGGAUAAUGAGAUUCAGUGACUUUGCAAAUCCUACAUCAACAUCAGCAUAUAAAAGCCCUUGAAACUGCAGAGCAACUUGACAGUACCUCUAGAAGACUUCAUUGAAUUUAUGUAGCUGAACAGGAUCUUUAUUAAAUCCAGGAAACAGUUCUCUUGCUCCUUAUAAUGAGAAAAAUCCAUUCAUCAAUCAGUUAAAAGCUGGAAACUCAGACCGUCUGCAGAAUAUUAUUAAUUCUUUUAAUUGCCAAGUUAAACUUUAAUAUUUACCCUGAAUAUUAUUCAAAUGACACUCAAAUGAACGUGCAAACACUAUACAGUGAAGAAUAUAAUCAUUUUUUUUAUAAUUUCAAAUAUUACAUGGUACUCAUAAACAAUGUUUGAAUAAAAAGUUGUAAUCUUUAUAAAUAACUACAUUUAUACAUGUAAUGUGUAUUAAUAUUAAAUAAAAAUUAUCUUGUAAGUUGUUUUUUUUGUUUUGUUUUAUACUACUACAGUGAAAUGUGUGACUUUUUAUAAGUGAAAAAGGUCGUUGCUAGCUUCCCCCCCCCCU